rnacentral:rRNA from 1 species
AUGAGGCGGCUGCCGCGGGCGGAGGUGGCCUCCAUCCUCUCCAGCCGGAUCCAUCCCGAUCGCGCCCCUUCCUGCUACAAGGCGCUGAAGCUCCAGAACCCGGACCUGAUUCCCUCGCCGGAAGAGGAGAUGGACGAGCUCAAGGUGGCAGAGUAUGCUGAUGCGCGCGACUUCUAUGAGGCUGCAGAGGAAUUCUCAAUAUUCCAGGCGUGGGUGCGGAGCGAGUACGCCAAGUAUGGCUACGUCGAGGUUGACGACGACUACCUCGCUCACCGGGAACAGGUUCGAGCUUGUAGCGAUAGAGCGCGGGAGGCUGCGCUCGAAGCGAUCGACUUCUCUGAUGGAGACGAAGACCUGAAGAUAUUUUUUAGGAACAGACAGCACUGA